GAAAUGCGAUAAGUAGUGUGAAUUGCAGAAUUCAGUGAAUCAUCGAAUCUUUGAACGCAGAUUGCGCCCUUUGGUAUUCCUUAGGGCAUGCCUGUUCGAGCGUCAUUUGUAACCUCAAGCUCAGCUUGGUGUUGGGUGUCUGUCCCCGCCCCGCGCGGGGACUCGCCUCAAAAACAUUGGCGGCCGGUACGUUGGCUUCGAGCGCAGCAGAAACGCGAACUCGAGGCCCGACGGAUCGGCGACCAGAAGUCACUUCUUCCACAGCUUGACCUCGGAUCAGGUAGGGAUACCCGCUGAACUUAAGC
rnacentral:misc_RNA from 1 species